GGCCAAAAAUAAAGAUAGAAAUAAUUAAAUAAAUAAAUGGCAUGUUUCUACUCAUAGAGAAUAUGUGUGUGUAGUUGCAUUUCUGUGAGUCGAGCGUGAUGUAUACUUGCAGUUACUAGUACGAACACUGAGUGCCGGGGAUCAGGCAAUAAGAUUCACCAUGUAUCAACCAUCAAUCGGCUUAUCCAUCGUAAUUUAUUGUCUUAAACUGUGCCGUGUAAAACAAUUUAUCUACCACCAUCCCUCCAUCUAUAUUAUGGAACGUGCUUCUUAUUAAAAAAAAAAAAAAAAGAAAAGAAAAGAAAUCACCCAUAUUGGUGGGGAUCUUGAUGGCAUUCUAGUUGACUUAUCAUGGGCAACCUUGGAAGGUUGAAUAUUGGACACGUGACUUAGAAAGAUGGCGGCUCGGCCAAGAAGAGCAGCAACGCCACUGAAAUCUCGGCCAGAAACCCCCUCAGUGAGGUCUAAACAACUAAGAUCGCAGAACUCUUCAUUAGAGCUAUUAUUUUCUUUCUAUCGAGGGUUUUCAGACUUGCCAUCUUUGAACCCGUGAUAUAUAUGGGUGUAUUUUAGAUGGGUGGUUUGUGGGUCCAACUUUUGCAAACGGGAGCCCCAUGUUACUUUUGAAAACCAGGAC
rnacentral:sRNA from 2 species